AAGGAAACAUGGGGAACUGAAGCCAAGUACCUAUCCACAGCAUAGGUCCAGCACAGGCAGCAGCAAUGCAAGCUUCCAUACAUUGCUUAGCCAAUAUGUCCCAGACCAGUGCUGGAAAGAGCUCCCUGGAGGGAUGAGAGGAGUCUUGUUACAUUUUUCACACGUACAAAGAGUAACC
rnacentral:sRNA from 1 species